UGGACACUACAGAAUUGUGGAGGAC
rnacentral:piRNA from 1 species